GGAAGGGAUCUGGGGUGAGAGGAACCGAGCCAGGAGGGAAGGCAGCAGCAGUCCCUCUGAGCGCUCCCACAGACUUCUGUCUGCAUCCAAACAGCACUUACCACCAGGGACGGGCUCAAAGACCAAGUAACUUCCGAGAAGAGAAGAGGUUCUGGUCUGCGCACUGACUCUUCUGGCGAGCAGAUCUGCACAGCUAAGAGCAACCAGGUCUUGUUCCAGCUCCACCAGAGCAGGGUCCUUGGCAGAGACUAACCUGGGACCUGUCGAAUUAUUAAAAGCACAUUUUCCUCCCGAAAUAGCAGCAUCAGAAGGUGUUGGCCUUGACCCUGCCCUCCAAGAGCUGCGUGAUGCUGGGCAAG